GUCAAAAUUGGGGGGUCUGGUCAUCUACAAUACAAGGUCAAUAUUGGGGGGUUUGGUCAUCUACAAGGUCUAUUGCCCCCCUCCUCCCCCCCCUUACAAGGUCAAUAUUGGUUUAUCAUUCUUACACCAUGCACCGCUACAACAUUACACAACUCUUACACAAUGUGUUAUUGGUCACACUCCUGCUGCCUCUCCUCCUGCUGUGCACACUUUUGAGCGUACCAUGGGGCACACCAACGGGGGUUCCCUCUCGGCUGCGGGCGUGCCUCCGCAAGAGAUCUGCAAUCAACACACCUGCCCGUGAUGAGCGACCAGCGGGUGCCAGAACGUAGCUUCUCCUACCCAGUACACUUCCUCGUCGUCCAGCUGUGUAUCUCGUCUACCUGGACCCCCUUUGGAUUCCCCCUUGCCUUCCUGGACUAAGACCUCACUCCUGUCCUUGACCAUCCGCCUGCCCUCUGAUGUCCGAGCCUGCUUUUCUGCCUCGAUCUCAACACGCACACUCAACACCCUCUGGUGACCACGCUCAGAUAAUACUUGCACAUAGUCACACUACAUCUCUUUUAAGCUAAUCACACACUGCACUCACAUACUGAGCUGUCAAUAAACACGCUGACAGCUAACGACA